CCGUCUAAUUAAUGUACUUUAUGUCGCCAAAAUGGCGUUAGUUUGUCAACUGUUCGUUUUCGCUCCGACAUCUCCCCCUCCCGGAUUUCUUGUGAUCCGUCUUCUCAUGAUUUCAAAAUUCCAGUGGUGAUACGCGUCCAAUCGACCGUCUGUAGAUCUUAUCAUUUUCUCUCACAUUCACUACACGAACAUUGCCGUCCUUUCCAGGAUAAACUGCUUCAAUCUUCCCCAAUUUCCAUUGUCGUCUCGGUGUUCCUGGAUCGAUAGCUAAUACCAUAUCUCCUUUCUUCACAUUAUCUUGUUUGUUAAACCACUUUGCACUCUUGCAUCCAGCGUUUCCAGGUUUGGCGAAUAAGUUCCUGCACGCGCCUCCAACGUUUCUUGGGGUUAAACGGUGUGUAGUCGACACUCUCUGGUGCAACAUCACCUCCUGAUUGACCGAUUAAGAAGUGGUUUGGUGUUAACACUGGUUCGUCGUUUGGAUCUCCGCUAACAUGAGUCAAAGGACGUGAAUUCAUCAGACUCUCUACUCCAACAAUGACUGUCUCUAGUUCUUCGUCACUUACGUCUGCGUUAGUUAAAAUUCCUUGGAUCGCUCUCUUGGCUGACUGGAUCAUCCGUUCGAAUACGCCUCCAAAAUGCGGUGAUAACGGUGGAUUCCAACGCCAGUCUACCCCUUUAUUGGACGUCUGCGCUUUAAUCUUCUCUUUGUCGAUCUCACCAACAAGUUUACAAAUCUCGUUGUGACCUCCUACAAAAUUGGUACCAUUGUCACUAAGCAUAGUUCGAGGCCAACCGCGUCUCGCUACCAUUCUGGUGAACGCUUGCAAAAAUCCGUCUGUUUCCAACGACCAUGCCAUUUCUAAGUGGCAACAAUGGGUCUGCAAGCAAAGAAAUAGACACAAAUAUCGUUUCGUUCGUGUCUUCCCUCGUCCUUGCUUUGUGAGGUAGGGCCCUGCGAAAUCAACUGCACAGUUCGUGAAAGGUUUCAUCGUCAACUCUAAUCUGAUAUUGGGCAAUGGUGCCAUUUGUUGCACGGCUGGUUUGCCGGUAAAACGCCGUUUGCACGUUGUGCAUUCUUUUGCCGUUCUCUUUACCAUUUCUCGGCCAUGAACGACAUGGUAUCUCUCUCGAAGAUGAUUCAGCGUGAAGUUUACGCCCAUUCGAUGCCCUUCGCUUUCGUGGUGAUACUUCACGAUGAGUUUCGUCACUGGAUGUCUCUUGGGUAAAAUUAUUGGAUAUUUUAUCUCUUCGCUCAAAUCCUCAGAGUAUCGAAGCCUCGUAUUCGAACGCAGAAGACAAUCUUUCCAGAUUGGCGUUAAAUUCAAAAUACUGCUUCUUUUAGGAAGACUCUUCUUCUCUUUUAGUGCAGUAAUCUCUUGACAAUAAACUUCCAUUUGUGCUUCGCGAAUAAUGAUCUCUUCUACACCUUGUAAUUCGUUUGCGGUCAACUCUCCACUGGCUCGUUCUUUCUUCAACUUUCGACAGUUCGCAAUGAAUCUAUGGACCCAAGCUCUAACCCGCACUAACGACAGUCCUAACUCCAAUCUCUUAGUCAAGGAAAGGCGAUACCACUUUGAAAAUCUUGAAGGUUUCAGACGCCAUUCUCCUUCGCUUUCGUCUUCUUGAGUCGCAUUGAAACAAACUGCGUCACCCUUGCGUUCUGGCUUCAUCUCUGCGAAAACUUGGGCG